rfam:Myotis davidii contig195448, whole genome shotgun sequence.
GGUGGUUCUCGGGUGACACAGCCCGGAAUCAGGCUCCCUCCUCUCUAGUUUCGGGUGCGUCCCUGAGAACUGCA